rnacentral:SRP_RNA from 1 species
GCUGGGCGUGGUGGCUCACGCCUGUAAUCCCAGCACUUUGGGAGGCUGAGGUGGGUGGAUCACCUGAGGUCAGGAGUUUGAGACCAGCCUGGCCAACAUGGUGAAACCCCAUCUCUA